rnacentral:rRNA from 1 species
AGUGAACGCUGGCGGCAGGCCUAACACAUGCAAGUCGAGCGGCAGCGGGUCCCCGCGAGGGGAGUGCCGGCGAGCGGCGGACGGGUGAGGAACACAUCGGAAUCUGCCUGGUUGUGGGGGAUAACGUAGGGAAACUUACGCUAAUACCGCAUGCGACCCUGAGUCGACGGACUGGGGGUGAAAGUGAGGGACCGUUCGGGCCGUCACGCGACCAGAUGAGCCGAUGUCGGAUUAGCUAGUU